rnacentral:tRNA from 2 species
AGGUGAUUAUUUUAAUUAAAAUAUUUGAUUUCGGCUCAAAAGAUACCGGUUAAAGUCCGUAAUCAUCUA